rnacentral:rRNA from 1 species
CACGUAGGGUGCGAGCGUUGUCCGGAAUUAUUGGGCGUAAAGAGCUCGUAGGCGGCUUGUCGCGUCGACCGUGAAAACUCGCAGCUCAACUGCGAGCCUGCGGUCGAUACGGGCAGGCUAGAGUUCGGUAGGGGAGACUGGAAUUCCUGGUGUAGCGGUGAAAUGCGCAGAUAUCAGGAGGAACACCGAUGGCGAAGGCAGGUCUCUGGGGCCGAUACUGACGCUGAGGAGCGAAAGCGUGGGGAGCGAACAGG